rnacentral:lncRNA from 1 species
AACACAAACUUAAAGUGUAAAUGCGUCCAAGAAACCUCAGCCUUUAUCCCCAUCCAACUCAUUGAAAAGCUUCAAGUCUUGCCUCCUGGGAAUGGGUGCCCAAACAAAGAAAUCAUGUAAGUUGCAGGAGAAAAAUUUAUGUGAUUCUUUUCUCCCAAUGAAAAUCAGAUCAAAUGUUGCCAUAUAGUAUUUUUUUAGUAUUGUUGGCAUACAAUGUUGCAUUAAUUUCAUAUGUACAGCAUAGUAUUCUUAUUCAAGAAUCUCAAAGGGAUUGAUUUUGAGAGUUGCUAACAACUCUCAAGCUAAUAAUGGGACUCAAUAAUAUUUGUUAAGUACCUACUUUGCAGUGGCCCUGAGUUAAGUGCUUUAUUCACAUUCAUUCAUCAUAUUCCUUUAACAGACAUUAAGUUACGUCUAGUGUUAUCACUGAUCUGCAGGUGCAGAAACUGAGGCUUAGGGAGGUUAACCAACUGCCCUGAGGCAAACCCUUAGAAAGGGACAGAACCAGGACUCCACCCAGGUGUUCCCCCUCCAAGCCUCUUCUCUCCUACCAAAUUCAAAUCACCAGCAGAAGCAGACACUUUGUUCCCCAGAAGUUAAAGAGCAAGAAAAUAAGUACCCACUACAGUCCUUGGUCUGAACAUCUAUUUUAUGGGACAGUCCCUUAGCUUUAAGAUCUACCAACGUUGAUACCAUUACUCUGAUUGAAGAGUUAGGCUAUGGAGUCAGUUGUGGCUGCAAGAAGUUUAAUAGGUAUUUUCUUUAGCUGAAAUAGCAUGAUCUCUUGUUUCUGUGACCCUUUUCAGUACUUUCAGAGAAAUCUGUUGAUACUUCUAUCAUAACAUUUUCCAUGGCACAUCAAAUGAGAAUUUACACAUUGCAUGCAAAGCCCCUAGUAUAGUGCCUGGCACAACAGUAAAUGUAACAAAUGUUCAGUAAAUGUUAGCUGUGAUUAUUAUAGCAUCACUGUGUUGAAGCAAUCAGGUUUGUGGCUCUCUUUCUCUCUCCCAUUCUCUCUCUCACCAGAAUUAUGUUCCUUAUAGACAGGGAUCAGAUUUAUUUGUUUCUCUACUCCCAAUGCUUUAUCCCUUACCUGGCAUAGAGCAGAGGUACAAGCAAUGUUGGAUUGUUACACUGCAUUUUUUAAAUAAUCCUAUAGAUCUUUUGUGUGUCACUACUUGGAACUUUGAUUUCUCCUUCCUAGAUCUAUCUUUAUGAACCAAGCAUCCACAGCUCGUGGACAUAUUAGGCACAGCAUCUUUCUCCACCUUUCCUGACUUUCACUAGCAGCUCUGCCCCUGUACUUCUUUAGACAUUUGAUAUGUUUGUAAUCAGCCACUUUUUGUUUGUCCCAUUUUGAUAUGGGCUUUGGGUGUUGCACUAGUUGUGUUCAACUUGUAAAAAAGAAAUAUGGGAUAUCAAAAACGUGUGCAAAAAUUUUUCAUUAAAAAGGCAUUAUACUUUUCCUAAUGUCUUCACUGAUGAAGGUUCUAACUAACCCACAAUUAUUGGCCUCAAACUCAGAGAUGUCAAGUCCAGCCAUGACCUUGAGAGCAGUUCCUCUGGAGGAAUAGAAACCUGAGAUUCUCUCCUCUCUCUCUCUCUCUCUCUCUCUCUCUCUCUCUUUUAUUACAUUUCCUCUGUCAUGAGUCAAGUCUCUUACCUCUCAACCUGAGGAAGUAAUGCACCCCAACUUUCUCUUCGUUAACAAUAAUCAUUUUGAAGGGGCAAAAAUUUGAUUUUAUAUCUUGUCACCAAAUUCUGUAUUUCUGAAUUUUAACCAGAUAUAGAAACAAAAGCUGGAAAUUACGAGAAAUACAUAGCAAUCAGGGUAAAAAUGCUGUGAGUCCGGAUGGUCAGAAAUCUAUUUUCCCUCAUGAACUCAAAAACCAAAUUGGAAGACUCUGCCCAAGAACCCCAAAAUGCUGUGACCUCUGACCUCUCUAAGAUUCAUUUACAAGGGUGGAGUUUCAAAGCUAGAUGGACAGAUCCUUCUUGCUAAGGUGAAGGUGAAGAAAUCGUUUUGCUCAGAGGCCACCCCGAUAGAGGGUUGGGUGUCCCUGGUCACUAUCACCUGGGAGACCUCACAUCUUUCACUGCAGGUAAAACAUUCAGCACUGUGUCUGGCACUUAUUGAUAACUAUUCAGAUCCUGCCCAUGUAGAGUGGCGGCUAAAAGUGUGGGUUCUGGAGGCAGAUAACCUUCAUUCGAAUGCUGCCCUGCCCUUGCAUUUGUCGUGCCAUCUUGGGCAAGUUAUUUAAACUCUCUAAACCUCAGGCUCCUCAUCUAAAUGUAAGGAAAUAAUAGUUCUCUAGCAAAGGACUUGUGUGAGAUUGACAUAAUCCAUGUUACCUGCUGAGGAUACUGAUUGGCGCAUUGUAAGUGCUUGAUCAAUAUUAGCUAUUAUUGUUGCUGCUUUUGUUGUUAUCGAAUCUCUCAGAGCAGUGAAAGCCUAACUAGAGGUUCAACAAAAUGCCAGGGGCACUCAGAGCGAUCAGCUCUGUAACCUCUCCCACAUUAAAUGUCAUUGGAUCUGCUUUUCAAAUAAAAUUUUCUCAAGAGAGUGUUUCCUAUCAUUUAUUUUGUUCUCCCAAGCUCAACAGACAACCAUCUAUUUUAUGGGACAUAAAGAUAAUGUGAUAUAGAUUUAGAAGUGAGCCAAUCUUAGAGUCAGCUAUUUGGUCCACCUCCAAUUCAUGUAAAGAUUGUCAGCAAAGCAUUAACCCCUGACACAUAAGAUUCUGUUAACCUCAUCUUGAGCUCCACUGGCUCACACACAGAUCCCAAACUGCCCACCUCCAAUUCCACUUCAUCCGGGAAUAUUUUUCUACUCCACUCUCCUUAAGGGCAGGAUUGACUAAAAUGUAACACUGCCUUAUUUUUAUUAUUUUUUCUUUCCCCCCAGAGUUUGGAAGAAGAAUAAGUCAGUUGUAUGCUUGAACCCUCAAGCUAAAUGGAUACUAAAAUUAAUAAAAAUGUUACAGAGGUAAGUCAGACAUCCCAAGGGUUUUCAGAUUCCAAUUUGUACUGAAGGGCUUCCCUUUCAUGGGUAGUCAAAAUGGGGACCAUUUUAAUUAUUUAUUUAUUUUUAAUGUUUAUUUAUUUUUGAGAGAGAGACAGAGUGCAUGACUGGGGCAGGGGCAUAGAGAGAGGAGGACAGAGGAUCUGAAGUGGGUUCUGCACUGACAGCAGACAGCCCGGUCGGUGCAUGGCUCAAACCCACGAACCGUGAGAUCAUAACCUGAGCCGGAGUCAGAUGCUUAACCGACUGAGCCACCUAGAAGCCCCUAAAUGGGGACCAUUUUAAACUUAUGAGAAAUUCCCAAGACAAAUAUCCAUUCUUCACUAUUAUUACUUUUCAAAUGAGUAAGGGUGACUCAUUUCAGUAGCUCAAUAAACUAAAUGGAAAGUCAAUAUGCACAACAGUCCUUGUUUGAUAUCUUUAAGGAAAACCAGUUUUUAGUAAGUCUCUCUGUGAAUAUGACUCUCUUGUUUUUGUUUUUAUUUCAUAGAAAAAGUGCUGUUUCAACUCCAUGAGCUCCAGCGUUUAAGAAAAGAGUCAACUGAUGCCAAUAUCCCUACUAAGGAUACCUGCCUAUGCCCCUCCUCCUGCUCUGGGUUUUAGUUUUGUAUUUGGCUGAGUCUUUCCAAGAAAAAGAACUUCCCCAUAUAAGCAAGCAUGAAAAUAUAUGUUAAAUAAGCUUACAGAAGCUGAUGUGGCCAACUUGAGCUUUUUAAAAAUUAUAGUACCCUUAUACACUUGGACUUUGCAUUUUUAUCAAUCAGGAAGAAAGUUUCCUUGAGGAUACUUAGUAAUAAAUCACAUCGGUUUCUUUGAAUAGUAUACCUCUUGUUUACACUAAAUUUUCCUAGAAACUAGGGGAACAAGAAUUUAAACCUCAAAUCUGAACAUGUGGCUUGAAUUAAGAAGGAAAUGAUGGAAUUCAUUUCAAUCAUUUCACACCAUAAGAAAAGCAGGCCUCCAUAAGAGACUGAAACCUGCCUGGGAAACCCAGGGAAUUUCAUAAGAGACAGAGGGCUCUCAUAGUAGCUAUCUUCCAUUUAAAAGCUCACUAUUGAAAAAAAUGGAGUCCUUUUCAUUCGAAAGAGUUCUUUUACGAGAUUUACUGUCCUGGACAAAAACUAAUAACAUUCAACAAUCUCCAGACUUAAAUUCGUAGAAUAUUCAGGAAAAGCAUUUAAAAACUGAUAUUCAGAUGUCUUCUUUUAUACAUUUGCUUUGAUGAACUUUUCUUACUCAUAUCUUUUGCACAGACUUUUUUUUCCCUUGGUUUCUGGUACCUGAUUCUUUAAUGCUUCCUGUUGAUCUA